GACGAACGCUGGCGGCGUGCCUAAUACAUGCAAGUUGAGCGCUGAAGGUUGGUACCUGUACCAACUGGAUGAGCAGCGAACGGGUGAGUAACGCGUGGGGAAUCUGUCUUUGAGCGGGGGACAACAUUUGGAAACGAAUGCUAAUACCGCAUAAAAACUUUAAACACAAGUUUUAAGUUUGAAAGAUGCAAUUGCAUCACUCAAAGAUGAUCCCGCGUUGUAUUAGCUAGUUGGUGAGGUAAAGGCUCACCAAGGCGAUGAUACAUAGCCGACCUGAGAGGGUGAUCGGCCACAUUGGGACUGAGACACGGCCCAAACUCCUACGGGAGGCAGCAGUAGGGAAUCUUCGGCAAUGGACGAAAGUCUGACCGAGCAACGCCGCGUGAGUGAAGAAGGUUUUCGGAUCGUAAAACUCUGUUGGUAGAGAAGAACGUUGGUGAGAGUGGAAAGCUCAUCAAGUGACGGUAACUACCCAGAAAGGGACGGCUAACUACGUG
rnacentral:rRNA from 1 species